GAUGAAGAACGUAGCGAAAUGCGAUAAGUAAUGUGAAUUGCAGAAUUCAGUGAAUCAUCGAGUCUUUGAACGCACAUUGCGCCCCCUGGUAUUCCGGGGGGCAUGCCUGUCCGAGCGUCAUUGCCGCCCUCAAGCACGGCUUGUGUGUUGGGCCCCCGCCCCCCGGCUUCGGGGGGCGGGCCCGAAAGGCAGCGGCGGCACCGCGUCCGGUCCUCGAGCGUAUGGGGCUUCGUCACCCGCUCUGUAGGCCCGGCCGGCGCCCGCAGGCGACCCCAAUCAAUCUUUCCAGGUUGACCUCGGAUCAGGUAGGGAUACCCGCUGAACUUAAGCAUAUCAAUAAGCGGAGGA
rnacentral:misc_RNA from 1 species